CCUACGGGAGGCAGCAGUGAGGAAUAUUGGUCAAUGGACGAGAGUCUGAACCAGCCAAGUAGCGUGAAGGAUGACUGCCCUAUGGGUUGUAAACUUCUUUUAUCUGGGAAUAAAAUGUUCCACGUGUGGGAUUUUGUAUGUACCAUAUGAAUAAGGAUCGGCUAACUCCGUGCCAGCAGCCGCGGUAAUACGGAGGAUCCGAGCGUUAUCCGGAUUUAUUGGGUUUAAAGGGAGCGUAGGUGGAUUGUUAAGUCAGUUGUGAAAGUUUGCGGCUCAACCGUAAAAUUGCAGUUGAAACUGGCAGUCUUGAGUACAGUAGAGGUGGGCGGAAUGCGUGGUGUAGCGGUGAAAUGCAUAGAUAUCGCGAAGAACUCCGAUUGCGAAGGCAGCUCACUGGACUGCAACUGACACUGAGGCUCGAAAGUGUGGGUAUCGAACAGGAUUAGAUACCCCAGUAGUC
rnacentral:rRNA from 1 species